rnacentral:rRNA from 1 species
GAACUGAAGAGUUUGAUCCUGGCUCAGAUUGAACGCUGGCGGAAUGCCUUACACAUGCAAGUCGAACGGCAGCACGGACUUCGGUCUGGUGGCGAGUG